rnacentral:snRNA from 1 species
AUACUUACCUGGCAGGGGAGAUACGGUGAUCACGAAGGUGGUUUUCCCAGGGAAAGGCUUAUCCAUUGCACUCCAGAUGUGCUGACCCUUGCAAUUUCCCCAAAUGUGGGAAACUCUACUGCAUAAUUUUUGGUAGUGGGGGACUUCAUUCUUGCUUUCUCCUG